ACUGAUGGACCGGUCCAACCCUUCCCGGGAUUCAGACCUGUAGAGACCAGACCUUCUGAACCUGACGGACCUCUGAGAGCCUCGGGGGGGGCGACGAGGUCUGAGCACUGAGGAAGAAUAAGGACACAAACACAAGGACUUAUGGGUUCUUUCUGUUUAACUCCUCACUGAUUACAUGUGUAAUAAACGACUACAUGUUAUUGAUCACAUCUGUAGUGAUGUUGCACUGUGGAGGUGAAACUGUGAGUUUUAAAGGUUGUAUAUAUUCACUGCCACUAGAUGUCGCACUAGAGCACCACAACCAGACUCCUUUAACAGAAACAGUGAUUUUACCCAGCAGACAGUCACUUCCAAAAACCGUCUGUUAGUCUUUACAACAACCACAGACAAAAUAAAUCCUCAAUUUACAGAUUUAGAUGUUAAGAAAAGCUCCAAACAGGCUGCUAUAUUAUCUGGUUUUGGGUUUUCAGACCAAAAAUCUAUUUGAUGACUUCACUUCGUAUUCUGGGACAUUGAGAUGGAGACAUCCUGUUUUAUUGAACUCCUCCUAGAGAAUCAAUCGGAUCGACUUCAUAUUUGGUCAGCACGCUGUAAAGACAUUCACGAUGACAAUUUAUCAAAAUCUUGAGGUUUUGUUUAACGGCAAGUCCUCGGCGUGGCGUCAAACGUUGGUGUUUCACCAUGAAAACGGAACCCCAAACCCAAACUUAUAGGGUUAUUACCCCGCCCUGAACACACCUACGUACCAAUAUUCAGUCACAGUCAGCGCCACCUACUGGCAACAGGAAGUAAAGCCAUGUACGGUGAAUGUGAUCUGAUGAUGUUCUUCACUGCAGCUUCAGUUUAUAUUUGUACUUUCUGAUGUAUUAAAGUGUUGUUUCAGUCGAUCGGUGUCCAAACGUCUCAUUUCAUCCCGACUGUUCACUGUACGCGGAGCAUCGACUCAUUGAUUUAUUCUAAAGAAAACCAUCGAUAUGAAUGGAAACAGCUCAUUGUGUGUGUGUGUGUGUGUGUGUGUGUGUGUGUGUGUGUGUGUGUGUCUGAUGUAUUCAGUAACUAAAGGCUCUCUCACACACACACACACACACAGUCUUGUUUCAUAACAGUGAGACGCUUUGAUGUGUGUGUCCUCAGAUAUGUAAAUGUCCUCAACUGAAUGGGUGGGUGAGAGAGGGCGAGCGAGCCCAACAGUGAAUGAGAGGCAGAGAGAGAGAGAGAGGCUCUUUAGGCUGUCAACAAACACGGAUGACAACUGGAAAAAAAUCACAUCUAACGAUAAACUGAGUUUCUGGGAAUCAGGACGGAUCUAGAAGAAUGAUGUAUCUACAGCAUCGACCUCUGCCCCAUAUCUACAGCAUCGACCUCUGCCCUGUAUCUACAGCACAACCUCUGCCUCGUGUCCCUAACCUUUGUAGAAAGUUCAGCAAUAAGGUUAAAGGGUGUUACCCACUUACACAGUUAUAAUAAUGUGUUAAUGUGUUUAAGCUCCGGGGAUCUUGUUGUUCAGUUGAUUGACAUAAUUAAACAGCCACAGCACGAUGCAUACAUAUAACAUAUAACACAUUAUAUAUAGUUUUCAGGCUAACUGUCAACAAACACAGAUGACAACUGAAGAAAUCACAUCAAAUGAUAAACUCAGAGUUUCUGGGGAUCAGGCCGGAUCCAGGAGAUCAUCGUUUAGGAACCCCGGCAUGGAGGAGUACAAGUCUCGCUCUUUCUCCGACUCUGCCUCCGUCUCCGUGGUGAUGUGUUUAGUCGUCUUGGCGUCUGGACUGACGUCCUUGGAGACCAGAGACGUCUUCUUCCCCACCAGCCAAUAGGUUACCAUGUCACCUUUCCCCUGUUUGAGACGGGACAGAUCCAGACAGUUAGUGGGCAGCUCCCAGUGACCGAAGUGAACAACGGUGGGAGUGGGUGUCUCACCUUGACCUGCAGCAUUCCUCUGCACUCCAGGACGUAGCCGCCGAUCUCCUCCAGCAGGUAAAAGGCACUGGAGCUGCACUGGAUCUUCAGGGCUGGAAACACGACUCAGUGUUAGAAUGAUUGAUAAUGAAGUUACAUUAGCAUUGUGUUCUGACAUAAACAAUAAGUAAAGAUUCCCAUUGUAAAAACUGAUUGUGCAAAAUAGGUUGUUUCUUGCAUUAAAGUUUCUCAGGUUUAGCUA